GAUACGGGACUCAUCCGAGGCCCCGUAAUCGGAAUGAGCACACUUUAAAUCCUUUAACGAGUAUCCAUUGGAGGGCAAGUCUGGUGCCAGCAGCCGCGGUAAUUCCAGCUCCAAUAGCGUAUAUUAAAGUUGUUGCGGUUAAAAAGCUCGUAGUUGGACUUGUGUCCCACGCUGUCGGUUCACCGCCCGUCGGUGUCUAACUGGCAUGGUUCGUGGGACGUCCUGCCGGUGGUGGCGAGUCGAAGGAGCGCGCCCGUCGUGGUUCACGCCGCGAUCGAGGUUGCGGUCCGGAGACGGACCCCGAUGAAAUCCUACCGCGGUGCUCUUCACCGAGUGUCGAGGUGGGCCGGCACGUUUACUUUGAACAAAUUAGAGUGCUUAAAGCAGGCCUGUUGCGCCUGAAUACUGUGUGCAUGGAAUAAUGGAAUAGGACCUCGGUUCUAUUUUGUUGGUUUUCGGAACCCGAGGUAAUGAUUAAUAGGGACAGUCGGGGGCAUUCGUAUUGCGACGUUAGAGGUGAAAUUCUUGGAUCGUCGCAAGACGGACCGAAGCGAAAGCAUUUGCCAAGUAUGUUUUCAUUAAUCAAGAACGAAAGUUAGAGGUUCGAAGGCGAUCAGAUACCGCCCUAGUUCUAACCAUAAACGAUGCCAGCUAGCGAUCCGCCGAAGUUCCUCCGAUGACUCGGCGGGCAGCUCCCGGGAAACCAAAGCUUUUGGGUUCCGGGGGAAGUAUGGUUGCAAAGCUGAAACUUAAAGGAAUUGACGGAAGGGCACCACCAGGAGUGGAGCCUGCGGCUUAAUUUGACUCAACACGGACUCAGCAGCAGUCUUC
rnacentral:rRNA from 1 species